rnacentral:rRNA from 1 species
UCAGGAUGAACGCUAGCUACAGGCUUAACACAUGCAAGUCGAGGGGCAGCAUGGUCUUAGCUUGCUAAGGCCGAUGGCGACCGGCGCACGGGUGAGUAACACGUAUCCAACCUGCCGUCUACUCUUGGACAGCCUUCUGAAAGGAAGAUUAAUACAAGAUGGCAUCAUGAGUCCGCAUGUUCACAUGAUUAAAGGUAUUCCGGUAGACGAUGGGGAUGCGUUCCAUUAGAUAGUAGGCGGGGUAACGGCCCACCUAGUCUUCGAUGGAUAGGGGUUCUGAGAGGAAGGUCCCCCACAUUGGAACUGAGACACGGUCCAAACUCCUACGGGAGGCAGCAGUGAGGAAUAUUGGUCAAUGGGCGAGAGCCUGAACCAGCCAAGUAGCGUGAAGGAUGACUGCCCUAUGGGUUGUAAACUUCUUUUAUAAAGGAAUAAAGUCGGGUAUGGAUACCCGUUUGCAUGUACUUUAUGAAUAAGGAUCGGCUAACUCCGUGCCAGCAGCCGCGGUAAUACGGAGGAUCCGAGCGUUAUCCGGAUUUAUUGGGUUUAAAGGGAGCGUAGAUGGAUGUUUAAGUCAGUUGUGAAAGUUUGCGGCUCAACCGUAAAAUUGCAGUUGAUACUGGAUAUCUUGAGUGCAGUUGAGGUAGGCGGAAUUCGUGGUGUAGCGGUGAAAUGCUUAGAUAUCACGAAGAACUCCGAUUGCGAAGGCAGCCUGCUAAGCUGCAACUGACAUUGAGGCUCGAAAGUGUGGGUAUCAAACAGGAUUAGAUACCCUGGUAGUCCACACGGUAAACGAUGAAUACUCGCUGUUUGCGAUAUACAGCAAGCGGCCAAGCGAAAGCGUUAAGUAUUCCACCUGGGGAGUACGCCGGCAACGGUGAAACUCAAAGGAAUUGACGGGGGCCCGCACAAGCGGAGGAACAUGUGGUUUAAUUCGAUGAUACGCGAGGAACCUUACCCGGGCUUAAAUUGCAGAUGAAUUACGGUGAAAGCCGUAAGCCGCAAGGCAUCUGUGAAGGUGCUGCAUGGUUGUCGUCAGCUCGUGCCGUGAGGUGUCGGCUUAAGUGCCAUAACGAGCGCAACCCUUGUUGUCAGUUACUAACAGGUUCCGCUGAGGACUCUGACAAGACUGCCAUCGUAAGAUGUGAGGAAGGUGGGGAUGACGUCAAAUCAGCACGGCCCUUACGUCCGGGGCUACACACGUGUUACAAUGGGGGGUACAGAGGGCCGCUACCACGCGAGUGGAUGCCAAUCCCCAAAACCUCUCUCAGUUCGGACUGGAGUCUGCAACCCGACUCCACGAAGCUGGAUUCGCUAGUAAUCGCGCAUCAGCCACGGCGCGGUGAAUACGUUCCCGGGCCUUGUACACACCGCCCGUCAAGCCAUGGGAGCCGGGGGUACCUGAAGUGCGUAACCGCGAGGAGCGCCCUAGGGUAAAACUGG